rnacentral:rRNA from 1 species
CAAUAAAGCGUUUUAAGAGCAUUUGGUGGAUGCCUUGGCAUUAAGAGGCGAUGAAAGACGUGGUACGCUGCGAUAAGCGACGGGGAGGUGCGAACAACCUUUGAUCCGUCGAUCUCUGAAUGGGGGAACCCACUGCACACUGCAGUAUCCUGUUCUGAAUACAUAGGACCAGGAAGCAAACCCGGCGAAUUGAAACAUCUAAGUAGCCGGAGGAAAGGAAAUCAAACGAGACUCCGUUAGUAGUGGCGAGCGAACGCGGACCAGGCCAGCCUUUACGAAAAGAACAAUUUGAAUCAUCUGGAAAGAUGAACGACAGAGGGUGAUAGUCCCGUAGAAGUAAUGUCUUUUUGUAGAGCUCGAGUAGGGCGGAACACGUGAAAUUCUGUCUGAAUAUAGGGGGACCAUCCUCUAAGCCUAAGUACUCCUUAAUGACCGAUAGUGAACUAGUACCGUGAGGGAAAGGCGAAAAGAACCCCAAGAAGGGGAGUGAAAUAGACCCUGAAACCAAAUGCUUACAAUCAGUCAGAGCACCUUUAAGGUGUGAUGGCGUACCUCUUGCAUAAUGGGUCAGCGAGUUAGUCUCUGUAGCAAGCUUAAGCCGAUAGGUGUAGGCGCAGCGAAAGCGAGUCUGAAUAGGGCGAUUGAGUUACAGGGAUUAGACCCGAAACCGGGUGAUCUACCCAUGGACAGGUUGAAGUUACGGUAACACGUAAUGGAGGACCGAACCAUAUGCUGUUGCAAUAGCUGUGGAUGAUCUGUGGGUAGGAGUGAAAGGCUAAUCAAACUCGGAAAUAUCUGGUUCUCCGCGAAAUAUAUUUAGGUAUAGCGUCAGAGGGUUACCAUCGGGGGUAGAGCACUGGAUAGGCUAGGGGGGAGCAAUCUCUACCAAACCUAACCAAACUCCGAAUACCGAUGAGUAUACUCUGGCAGACAGACUACGGGUGCUAAGGUCCGUGGUCGAAAGGGAAACAGCCCAGACCGCCAUCUAAGGUCCCCAAGUCAUCAUUAAGUGGGAAAGGAUGUGGGAAGGCCAAGACAGCUAGGAGGUUGGCUUAGAAGCAGCCAUCCUUUAAAGAAAGCGUAACAGCUCACUAGUCUAGUUAAGCCGUCCUGCGCCGAAAAUGUACCGGGGCUAAAAUGAUGCACCGAAGAUGCGGAUUUUAGGAAUCUAUCGUGAUUCUUAAAGUGGUAGCGGAGCGUUCUGUAAAUCUGCGAAGGAAUACGGUGACGUAUUCUGGAGAUAUCAGAAGUGAGAAUGCUGACAUAAGUAACGACAAAGCAUGUGAGAAACAUGCUCGCCGAAAGUCCAAGGUUUCCUGCGCAAGGUUAAUCCGCGCAGGGUUAGUCGGCCCCUAAGGUGAGGGCGAAAGCCGUAAUCGAUGGGAACAAGGUUAAUAUUCCUUGACCAGUCUGAAGUGACGAAGAUUGUAAGGUGUCUUUCCUAAUUGGAUUGGAAAGGCAGUGAAAAUCUUCCAGGAAAUAGCUCAGACGUAAAUGACCGUACCCUAAACCGACACAGGUGGAUGAGUAGAAUAUACUAAGGCGCUUGAGAGAAAUAUGUUGAAGGAACUCGGCAAAUUGACCCUGUAACUUCGGAAGAAAGGGUACCCAUCUUUGGGCAACCAGAAAUGGGUGGCACAGAAUAGGGGGUGGCGACUGUUUAUCUAAAACACAGGACUAUGCUAAGUCGAAAGACGAUGUAUAUGGUCUGACGCCUGCCCGGUGCUGGAAGGUUAAGAGGAGGUGUGCAAGCUCCGAAUUGAAGCCCCAGUAAACGGCGGCCGUAACUAUAACGGUCCUAAGGUAGCGAAAUUCCUUGUCAGGUAAGUUCUGACCCGCAC